rnacentral:sRNA from 1 species
AAGAACAUAAACUAAAAAAA